rnacentral:lncRNA from 1 species
CUUGAAAGAAGCUUUAGAGCACCGAAGUUUACAUGUCCGAACCGCAAAUGCCAAAGCCAAGAUACAUCCUUCAUACAUGCACUUAGACAUUUAGCAACAAUAUGAUUUAUGUUUAAUACAAACAUGCGGUUAUUUUACAUAGGAACAUGAGCAAUCAAUUUAUUUUGUUUCCUUAGAUAGAAGCUUCCUUCCUUUAGUUGCAUAUCAAAUCCUCUCUCCAAGAGUUGCCC